CCUCCCUGUCUUUUAACACACAACCCCCCGCCCCCAUCACCCCAUCUGUGUUUGUCGUAGAAAGGUGACAGAAGCAGUUGGUGCAGCGUGCACAAUGCAACACUCUCCAUCUGGCAGAUGGAGUUGCUCUAUUGUCAUGGAGAUGGUUAAGUUGUCAUUACACAGUGAGAUGUGGACGAAAGCUUCAAAAAAUAUGAAUGAUGGCCAAAUGAGCUGAGUGAACAACCAUGACAUCUGAUCACACAACAGCUUAAAGAGACAGACGCUAAAACGGAGCGUUCAGACCGAGGGUGAAUACAGAAAUGAAUGGCCCCCUUGAUCUCUUUCCAGCCAUCCACUGACUCUUCAUCGAUGACUUCGACAACCCAACUAUCAGAAGCCUUCAGCGCUACUCCCUUAUGUAGCUGUAGUUUCUUUGUAUUUUCCUUACAAAUAUCACCAUAUAUUAGCCAUGCAAACUGAUUUCCUUUUCUGUUUUGGUGGACGAACAUGCAAGGUUUCAUGUUCCAAAAGGAUUUUGAGAGGUUGCCUACCGAUGUAACUGUAACCAGUCUACCUGUUUCCCAGUGUGUUGUUUCUGUGGUAGUCCUGUGUGUAGUUGCUCAAUCAUUGAAUACUGGUUCCUUUCUGACUGCCAAGACUACAGAAAACAUCUGUGUGGAAAAGGUUGCAAUGUGUGAGGUGUCUAGUGUUUGUAGGUGUCAACCUUGUAGGUUUGUCGGUUUCCCAGAUUUAGUCAGGUCCGAGUAAAUCAAGUUGCAUAAUAUUGCACUCUUGCAGUCUGUUCCCAGCUUUAGUCGAGGUUCAGGCCACUUUCAGACCUUGAUUAAGACUAACAGCGAAAACACACCGGGCGCGUAUAGCCCGCAUAGCGUAGAUACGUCCCUAAUCCCACGCCUGGCCAUUCAUACCGGACGCGUAUUUCAAUACGCCGGUCACAAAGCGAUCCUUCUCCUCUCUCUCUCUCUCUCUCUCUCUCUCUCUCUGAUAGAAAGAGACAAGAUAAGUGGGAAAAACCGUAGUAAUUGUAGCCUAAGUGUGUGUGUGUGUGUGUGUGUGUUGUGUGUGUCACGUCCGUCAGUCUCCACCGCUGCACUGUGGUCUUCCUGUAUAUGAUUACCUGCCUGGCUUGACACAUACGCUCGCUUCUCGCGCAAGAAAUAGAGGAGACGCCGAAACUAUCGCUGCAGCGUGCCGGCCGACACGGAUGCUACACGCCGGUAUGAACUGACAUGGGUGGCAUCUUUGUAGCUUCCAUGUUGUUUCCACAUUACGCAUUUAUGGAGGUCUGCGCUUUUCGUGUGCCAUUCUAGUAAUUAGCAUUGCAUAGGUGUGAGGUCCAUAGAACGCUAAAGGUAUAAUCUGUUAAAUUCUGAGGAGUCCUCAGGUGAAAAUGUAAGUAUAUCCAUGUAUAUCCAAUACAUCCACACACAAGGUCCGGAGCCAUUGAACACUUCAACAGGAUGGCCUAGUGUCCGGGCACUCCUAGUUUCAGUUCUACAGCCAUACAAAAACAUGUCCACAUUGAUUUUGCCCAAUUUACAAAUCACCCUCCAAACUGAAUGAGAUGCUGUCCAUCUUUCAUUUCCAGUAUAUAUACAGCUACAGCAUGUGAGGCUCCUAUUUAAGGAUGAACCUACCCUUUAUGGAUCAUAGAAUCAGCCAACAUGUCAUUGUUGUGCUGGGUUAGAUUUUCUCCAUUAAUGAGCAGUCUGCAGUGUCUGGAACCUGCUGGGGAGACCAGACAUCAUUUAUACCCAGGGCAAACAAACCACACAGGCUCUGCUGCCAAAAGCACCAUCCAUUUAAUAGAGACAAGUCAGAGAGAGGUCAGGCUGCAUACUGCCACACAGCCAGC